rnacentral:tRNA from 1 species
GCGGGUGUAGUCUAGUGGCUAUGACUUUAGCCUUCCAAGCUAAUAGCUCGGGUUCAAAUCCCGACACCCGCA